rnacentral:tRNA from 1 species
AGGUAGUUACUCUAAAAUAAGACUUUUGAUUUCGGCUCAAAAAACUGUGGUUUAACUCCGCAACUAUCUU